UAAGAAGUUGAGACUGUUAACUAUACUAUAGAAUUUUAAAUAGAUAAUAAUUUCCUCUUAAGGGAAUUCUAAAAGAAGUUCACAGACUCAUUCUAGAAGGAGAUGCACUUAGCUCAAAAUAGAAAAGUUGCUGAAAAUUUUUAUAAUUUGAUAACUGCUUUUAAAAAUACCAGAAAACAGUAACUCACUAAUGAAAGAGAUGAGAAAGGAGACAAAAAUAUGGGGGCUUAAAUUAAUAACAUGUAUAUGAUCACAGAUGAGAGAAUAAUAUAUGGAUAUGUUAAUACCCAGCAGAAAUGCUAUUCUUACCAAUACCAAUUAAUAUGAAAUACUCAAUUACCCUAAAGCACUAUCAUGAUGUAACAAUCCCACUUUUAAAUUCUGCUUUAUUUUAAAUUGAGAAUUUGGAAAUAAGCAUUUCUGACUACAUUAAACUAGCUGGGCUUGACUCUAAGGGGAAUUCCUUUAAGAGCAUUCUGGACAGGAGGUCUGACAUUAUUAUCCUCUAAUUAUAUCCCAUUUUUAAGGUAGAGUUUUGGGUUUGUAAGCUAUGCUCAUUUGCUGUGUUCUCAAAGGAAAAUACAUGUACAUGACAAUAAAGUAACAAUGAUAGACAUCGUUUAUAAUGUUUUAUCAGCAUAAAUGAAUUUAUACUCCCUUUAAACCCAUGAGGUUGAUUUCCAGUUUGAACUUCACAGUUAAGUAUAAAUUCUAAUAGUGACUAGAUUCCACUGAGAGUUUAUUUGGUAAUAAAAAUCCAAGGUUAUUUCACAGGAGUUACUGUUAUAUAUUCAAGUACUUCUCUACUACUUUUACAUUUUAGAAAAUAGCAACUCUUAUAAGGGUGAGUCUCUGUGCCAUUUCUAAAUUCUAAAUUUGAGUUUGCUGCAGUGAAGAAUAACUACUAAUUAGAAACCAAAUAUAGUGUUCUAUCAGUUACUAAUUUUCAUAAGGGACGCUUAAUUUACAUUCUAGCAAUGGCCAAACCUACUGAAUACACGAGUUUAGAAGUGAAAACCUUAAAUAAGUCUAGGAUUAGACUGUAUUCCUAGGAAGAAGUCACAUUAAAACUAACUCUGACUCCAAGUCUAAAGAUAUUAUAAACCUCAGAACACUUAUUUUGCAAAAUAUAUUCCAAAACUCUAAGUUGUCCCCAAGUCUGAUUCCAUUAAAUAAGUGCCCCUUCUUCUGACUAUACUCCUUUUGAUCUUCCACUUCUUAAUUUUCCCUUGUUCAAUGGACUUUACCUUGUCAUCAAUAUUGUUACAUUUGUAAAAUUAUACACCUUAAACUCAAAACUACUUCCUGUAAGAGCUUUAGUGUUUCUAGAGAUGUUCAAUGUCAACAACUUUUUCUAACUCACCCAGGUAUGCUUAUAAUUAACUAUAAUAUGCUUAUAAUUAACUCAUGUAUGCCAGUCUAAACUCUUAAAGCUCAGACCACACUGUAGACUUCUGUAGUUUGGCUGAGGAUUCCAACCUCAGAUAUUCCAACCUAGAUAUUCCAACAAAUAUCUAGGCACAUUUGUUCUCAUCCUGUUCUCAUCCACAUUUGUUCUAAUCCCCUCAUCCUGAAGGAUGGCUGGACAGGGUCUGGAAUAGCUAGAGCUCCUUGGCAGUCUCAUUUGGACAAGAGCAGCUUCAUCUGCUUGCCCUAGUGUGUUGUGACAAAUUUCAUAAUUUUCUCUGUGUACCAUGAUGUGAAAAAGGUUGGAAAGUACUGUCCUAGAAAAUACAAAGCAGCACUAGCAUUACUACAAUGCUGAGUACACAGGAAGUGCUUAGGAAAUAAGGAAAUAUGAUUUUUCUUCCCUAUAAAGCCUCAUUCUAUUGUUCUUCCCUAAACCACAGGAGGUAUUAGAUAUAUAUGGCUGAAUUCUUCAUCACCUUCACACUCAGAACAGCAUGGCUCAAGAGCACUUUGGUUAGAAGAUGGAACUCUUAAGCUCUAUACUGUUGCUAGCAUCUAAGCAAACUCUAGUGAAACCCCAACUGACUCAAUGAGACUGCUCCUUUAAAAGAAUCUCCAGUGAGGCGUCUGAAACAACUAGCAGGUGGUAGUGAUAAGCAGCAACUAACUUUAACAACUUACGGCAUCAGAGCUACCCGAGUUUCAGUCUGUCCCUGGGGGAAGGGCACUCCAUUAUUUUUUCAUAGUUGAUAAAAUCUGAUUACUUUCUCAGGAAGGGAGUUAAAUAUGAUUAAGUCAAUCUCUCUUCCUGAAGAUGUAAAAGGUAUGCUUGAACCAUAGUUGUUAAAGUCUCACUUCUAGGAAAAGAGGUCGUUUUCAAAGGUUGGUGGAAUAAACAGGCAAAUAGUAAGUUUCCCAGGAAGAAAAAAAUUGUUUUCAGUCAAAUUUCUAAAUUUCAUUUGAAAGUUAC
rnacentral:lncRNA from 1 species